rnacentral:tRNA from 1 species
GUCCUCGUAGCUCAGCAGGAUAGAGCGACAGCCUCCUAAGCUGUAGGUCGCAGGUUCGACUCCUGCCGGGGACGCCA